rnacentral:rRNA from 1 species
AUUGAACGCUGGCGGCAGGCCUAACACAUGCAAGUCGAGCGGAGCGGCGGACGGGUGAGUAAUGCCUAGGAAUCUGCCUGGUAGUGGGGGAUAACGUCCGGAAACGGGCGCUAAUACCGCAUACUAUCAGAUGAGCCAAGGUCGGAUUAACUAGUUGGUGGGGUCAAGGCCUACCAAGGCGACGAUCCGUAACUGGUCUGAGAGGAUGAUCAGUCACACUUGAACUGAGACACGGUCCCGUCUCCUACGUGAGACAGCAGUGAGGAAUAUUGGACAAAGGGCGAGAUCCUGAUCCAGCCAUGCCGCGUGUGUGAAGAAGGUCUUCGGAUUGUAGAGCGCUUUAAGUUGGGAGGCGUUACCAACAGAAUAAGCACCGGCUAACUUCGUGCCAGCAGCCGCGGUAAUUC